UUUCAAUGAUGAGAAUCCUGUCAGUUCUGCUGCUGAACAUCAGUGAUGUUACUUUUAUUUUUGCUGAGAAA